AUGGUGAGGGUAAUCCGGAGCGGGUAUGAUUUCUCCAGGCACGUGAACCAUCCAGUCUUCAGUCCAGAUGGGCAGAGCAUCGCCUUGACAUCGGACCUCGCUGUGGUGUCCGCUAAUCCAAUGUCGCCUCCAAUCUUCUUGCACUCGGUGAGGUCCUAUUGUGACAUCUUCACUGUUGAUAUCGACCCUGACAACAUGGAGAAGAACCAGGAUGUGGAGAAGUUUGCCGGCGUCACGCAUGACAGAUACGAGAACUCCACUCCUGCCUGGUCGGUGUUCUCGACCCAUGACCCUCAUGCACAGUGGAACCUCCUGGUCAUGGAGGAAAGUUACACCCCUUCAUACCCGUAUGCGCAAAUUGACGGAUGUGAAAGUUGGCACAUGACAGGCCAGAUCUGCAUCCUGAAAGGGUCUGUUUCUGGCUCGUUUGGGAUUAAUUGUUUGAGAUGUAUCUGGAAUUUCUGUUUGAAUUGCUGUUGGACAUUUGCAUUUUACACAUUUCAUCUUGCUGUAAUGAGACUUCAGAGUUUUAUACGAGGAUUCUGA
rnacentral:rRNA from 1 species